rnacentral:tRNA from 1 species
UCCGGGGUAGCUCAACGGUAGAGCAGCACGCUGUUAACGUGUUGGUUGUCGGUUCGAAUCCGACCCCCGGAGCAA